rnacentral:rRNA from 1 species
GACGUAGGGGGCAAGCGUUGUCCGGAUUUACUGGGCGUAAAGCGCGCGUAGGCGGCUUGUUAAGUGUAGAGUGAAAGCUCCGGGCUCAACCCGGAAAUUGCUCUGCAUACUGGCAGGCUGGAGGGACGCAGAGGUCUGUGGAAUUCCUGGUGUAACGGUGAAAUGCGUAGAGAUCUGGAGGAAUACCGAUGGCGAAGGCAGCCAUCUGGCCUAACACUGACGCUGAGGUGCGAAAGCAUGGGGAGCAAACAGG